rnacentral:lncRNA from 1 species
AAAAAAGGGAGAAAGAGCGAGAGAGAAAAGGGAGAAAGAGGCAAGAGAGAGACAAUUCUAAUAAAAUAUAUAGUAUUGUUAUAUAUUGCUAUAAAUGGUAAUAAUUAAAAAGUAUAUUUAAAAUAAGUAAUUAUUUUUUAAAAGGGAUCCACUCAAGUAAUUAGCCCUUUUAUUUAUUAUUAUCUUGUUAGAAUUUAGGACAGGUGGAAGAUGGGGCCUUAGGCCCAAAGAAAUAAAAUUCAAAUUUAGUUUAGGAUAGGUGCAGGUGACUCAAAUGGGCCGAAGACCCAAAAUGAAAAUGGGCCCAAGUACUGGUCCAGGC